CAUAACGCUGAGGUUCCCACCAGCCUCCCCAGUUGUCACCACCACCCAGAUGAGCUCUCCAGCACUGCUUUGUCUAGCCCACCUGAUGCAGCCUGAAGCGAGGAGCAGGGCCAGUUCUCAUGUUCUAGGUUCAGGCUCACCCACUCCCCCCCACCCCCAGGCACGGUGGGUGCAGUGCUCUCUCUCUCAAUUGCUGUAGGGGGCAUAUGAGGGGAGGUGGGGUCGGCCCUCUUGCUCUCUCGCCAUCAGGGCAGGCUCACUUACAUCCCCCAACAAGAGGGUCAGCUUGGUGUGCUAUCCAGCACGAGGGAGGUGGAGACAGGAGGAUAUGUCUGGGCGGAGAAAGGAAUGUAAGAAGGAGGAAACCGGAACUGAGAGCCUCUGAGGAUUUGUGGAUGACAGGAUCGCUGUUUCAGCUGGGUGGAGCACUUGGACCAUUUACGCAUCUCUGCAUGGACUACCGCCCACUGCAACAAGACCGCUUCUCUGAUCAUGUGACUAUUCAGUUCUCCCAGCAGCACUGGCGGACAGACUGCUCUUAACCUGUGGUAUGUUUUCAGUGGCUUUGUCAAAAGUCACACUUGGGAUCCCAGCACUCGUGAGGCUUGCCAAGAGCUCAAGGCAGUGAGACUUUGUCUCAAAACACCAAUACCCAAACCAACGGAAAGUAGUAUUAGCAGGAUCUCUUGUGUCCCGUAUUAGCCUCGAACUCACUACAUGACCUUCAAUAUGAUCUUCAUCCUCUGUCCCCUCUGCUUUCCCUUCCGAGUGCCGGGGUAACAGGCAUAUGCCUCAUGCUAGGUUUACAUGGGGCUGAAAAUCUAACACGGGGCUUUGUGCACA